rnacentral:rRNA from 1 species
GAGGUUAAUAAUAAACUGCUGACAACGACUGUUUAACAAAAACACAAGACACUGAUAACCUUAUUAGGGCUUUAUAGUGUCUGAUACCUGCCCAAAGGCGAAAGCAAACGGCGGCCGUAACUCUAACGGUCCUAAGGUAGCGUAGUUCCUUGGCAUUUAAUUGGUGCCGUGCAUGAAUGGUGUAACGACUGUCAGGCUGUCUCAAGUAUAGAUUUUGUGAAAUUGAAUUGUUUGUGCAGAUGCGAACAAUAGUUUGUGGGACGAUAAGACCCCAUGCACCUUUAC